AGCAGGGGAUAACACCUGGAAACAGAUGCUAAUACCGUAUAACAGAGAAAACCGCCUGGUUUUCUUUUAAAAGAUGGCUCUGCUAUCACUUCUGGAUGGACCCGCGGCGCAUUAGCUAGUUGGUGAGGUAACGGCUCACCAAGGCGAUGAUGCGUAGCCGACCUGAGAGGGUAAUCGGCCACAUUGGGACUGAGACACGGCCCAGACUCCUACGGGAGGCAGCAGUAGGGAAUCUUCCACAAUGGACGCAAGUCUGAUGGAGCAACGCCGCGUGAGUGAAGAAGGGUUUCGGCUCGUAAAGCUCUGUUGUUAAAGAAGAACGUGGGUGAGAGUAACUGUUCACCCAGUGACGGUAUUUAACCAGAAAGCCACGGCUAACUACGUGCCAGCAGCCGCGGUAAUACGUAGGUGGCAAGCGUUAUCCGGAUUUAUUGGGCGUAAAGCGAGCGCAGGCGGUCUUUUAAGUCUAAUGUGAAAGCCUUCGGCUCAACCGAAGAAGUGCAUUGGAAACUGGGAGACUUGAGUGCAGAAGAGGACAGUGGAACUCCAUGUGUAGCGGUGAAAUGCGUAGAUAUAUGGAAGAACACCAGUGGCGAAGGCGGCUGUCUGGUCUGUAACUGACGCUGAGGCUCGAAAGCAUGGGUAGCGAACAGGAUUAGAUACCCUGGUAGUCCAUGCCGUAAACGAUGAUUACUAAGUGUUGGAGGGUUUCCGCCCUUCAGUGCUGCAGCUAACGCAUUAAGUAAUCCGCCUGGGGAGUACGACCGCAAGGUUGAAACUCAAAAGAAUUGACGGGGGCCCGCACAAGCGGUGGAGCAUGUGGUUUAAUUCGAAGCUACGCGAAGAACCUUACCAGGUCUUGACAUCUUCUGCCAACCUAAGAGAUUAGGCGUUCCCUUCGGGGACAGAAUGACAGGUGGUGCAUGGUUGUCGUCAGCUCGUGUCGUGAGAUGUUGGGUUAAGUCCCGCAACGAGCGCAACCCUUAUUACUAGUUGCCAGCAUUCAGUUGGGCACUCUAGUGAGACUGCCGGUGACAAACCGGAGGAAGGUGGGGACGACGUCAAAUCAUCAUGCCCCUUAUGACCUGGGCUACACACGUGCUACAAUGGAUGGUACAACGAGUCGCGAAACCGCGAGGUUUAGCUAAUCUCUUAAAACCAUUCCCAGUUC
rnacentral:rRNA from 1 species